rnacentral:rRNA from 1 species
AUGCUCGUUAACUUACACUUACUUUUAGCACUUCUCUACCAGUUCUCUCUCAUCGUGGGCCAAGCAGUUCUCCGUUACAUGCUAAAUCAGGCUUUCCUUGGAAAAACCAAGGACAACCCCUAUCUCAGUCUCCUUUCUCUUUUCGGGAGCAGAGAGUCAGGCGGAAAAAGGGGAGAGCUCCCCGUUCCUGGUUCUCCUUUCUUAGAUUAUGCCCCAGAUCUCUACUGCCAUCGACGCUCCACCUCCGGAGUCAUCCUGGUAUUUUACUUUGCAUGCUUCUUUUCUAUGGCUCUGUUCUCUUUAUGA